rnacentral:rRNA from 1 species
CCUACGGGUGGCAGCAGUGGGGAAUAUUGCACAAUGGGGGCAACCCUGAUGCAGCGAUGCCGCGUGAGCGAUGAAGUAUUUCGGUUUGUAAAGCUCUAUCAGCCGGGACGAAAAUGACGGUAGCGGACAAAGAAGCACCGGCUAACUACGUGCCAGCAGCCGCGGUAAUACGUAGGGGGCGAGCGUUGUUCGGAUUUACUGGGUGUAAAGGGAGCGUAGGCGGCGGUGCAAGACAGCGGUGAAAGGCCGGGGCUCAACCCCGGGACUGCAGUUGGGACUGUGUAGCUAGAGUGUUGGAGAGGAUGGCGGAAUACCCAGUGUAGAGGUGAAAUGCGUAGAUAUUGGGUGGAACACCAGUGGCGAAGGCGGCUAGCUGGCCGUUUACUGACGCUGAGGCUCGAAAGCGUGGGGAUCAAACAGGAUUAGAUACCCGAGUAGUC